GUUCUAAAUGCAUUGUCCACUGGAAAUGGUGGAACAAUUGAACUGCUUUACAUGCAGCUUUAUGCACCUACAACUUUGGCACCAGCUCGCGACUUCUGGUUACUGCGCUACACUUCUGUUUUGGAGGAUGGUAGUCUUGUGGUUUGUGAGAGAUCACUUAACAACACUCAGAAUGGUCCAAGUAUGCCACCUACACAGCAUUUUGUGAGGGCAGAAAUGCUACCUGGUGGAUAUCUAAUUAGACCUUGUGAAGGAGGUGGAUCAAUUAUUCAUAGUAGUAGAUCAUGUGGACUUGGAGCCUUGGAGUGUGCCUGAAGUGUUGCGCCCACUUUAUGAGUCAUCAACAUUGCUAGCUCAAAAGACAACAAUGGCGGCUUUACGACAUUUGAGGCAAAUUUCACAAGAAGUUUCUCAGCCAAAUGCCUCUGGUUGGGGNNNNNNNNUUACGUGCACUUAGUCAGAGACUGAGCAAGGGCUUUAAUGAAGCUGUUAAUGGGUUUACUGAUGAGGG
rnacentral:misc_RNA from 1 species